rnacentral:rRNA from 1 species
AUUGAACGCUGGCGGCAUGCCUUACACAUGCAAGUCGAACGGUAACGCGGGGCAACCUGGCGACGAGUGGCGAACGGGUGAGUAAUACAUCGGAACGUGCCCAGUAAUGGGGGAUAGCCCGGCGAAAGCCGGAUUAAUACCGCAUACGACCUAAGGGUGAAAGAGGGGGAUCGCAAGACCUCUCGUUAUUGGAGCGGCCGAUGGCAGAUUAGGUAGUUGGUGGGGUAAAGGCCUACCAAGCCGACGAUCUGUAGCUGGUCUGAGAGGACGACCAGCCACACUGGGACUGAGACACGGCCCAGACUCCUACGGGAGGCAGCAGUGGGGAAUUUUGGACAAUGGACGCAAGUCUGAUCCAGCAAUGCCGCGUGCGGGAAGAAGGCCUUCGGGUUGUAAACCGCUUUUGUCAGGGAAGAAAUCUUCUGGGUUAAUACCUCGGGAGGAUGACGGUACCUGAAGAAUAAGCACCGGCUAACUACGUGCCAGCCGCCGCGGUAAUAC